CAGGGAAAUGAUGGCAUUGGAUACAGUCUGAAGGACUUAACUGAGUUGGGAAUUCGCUGCGACCUCCAACAUGCCGUCCAAGCCUGCCCCGAUCAAGAAGGCGGCCAAGAAAGAACCGGAGGAAAAAGCCCCAGAGCCGGCUCCCGAACCCGCCCCGGAGCCUGCUCCCGUCGAGGAAACCCCCGCGGAGGUCGCUCCAGCUGAGGGAGAGGCGCCUGCCGAGGGGGAAGCUCCUGCUGAGGCACCUGCACCAGAGCCGAAGCCACCCACUCCACCUCCUCCACCCAAAGAACCCACAAGCGCCCCUGUGGAUCUGUUUGUUGAAGACAAAAAUGACAAUUCAGUGACCAUCAUUUGGAGCCAGCCUGAGACCAUUGGGGACUCUGGUCUGGACGGAUAUGUCAUUGAAGUUUGCAAGGAUGGAACUGAAGACUGGAAAGCAGUCAAUCAGGAUCUGCAGAAGUCCAGUCGCUACGUCAUCAAGAACCAGACCACCGGUGACCGCCUGAAGAUCCGUGUGGUGGCUGUGAAUGAAGGAGGCCGCAGCCCCCCCGUCACCCUGCCAGAGCCCGUACUGGUGAAGGAAGUUGCAGAUCGUCCCAAGGUCCGUUUGCCUCGUUUCCUUAGGCAGAGAUACGUCGCUCUUGUUGGGGAAAAGAUCAACCUGACCAUCCCUUUCACAGGUAAACCUAAACCUGUGGUGACCUGGACAAAGGGCGGCACAGCACUGGACCCAAAGAGAGUGAACAUCCGCAGCACCGAAAGAGACAGCAUCCUGUUCAUCCGUGCAGCCGAGAGAGAUGACUCCGGAGUGUAUGAGAUGUGCGUGAAAGUGGAGGGCUUUGAAGACAAGGCCUCACUGACCCUUCAGAUUGUUGAGCUGCCAGGGCCUCCUGCCAGUGUGAAGAUUGUUGACACCUGGGGCUUCAAUGUUGCUCUGGAAUGGACUGCACCCAGAGAUAAUGGAAACACUGAGAUCACAGGAUAUACAAUCCAGAAGGCUGACAAAAAGACUGGAGAUUGGUUCACUGUGUUGGAGCAUUACCACAGACUGAAUGCCACCAUCUCUGAUCUCAUCAUGGGCAACACUUACAAGUUCAGAGUAUUUUCUGAGAACAAGUGUGGAAUGAGCGAGUCAGCUGCUGUUACAAAGGAAGAGGCUAAGAUCCUGAAGACAGAUAUCGACUACAAGCCUCCUGAAUAUAAGGAACAUGACUUCAGUGAAGCACCAAAGUUCACCACGUCUCUGAGCGACAGAGCCACCACUGUUGGCUACAGCACCAAGCUGCUAUGCUCCGUCAGGGGAUUCCCCAAGCCCAAGAUUGAAUGGAUGAAGAACCAGAUGAUUAUCGGAGAUGACCCCAAGUUCAGGCAGAUCUGCGUCCAGGGCAUCUGUUCUCUGGAGAUCAGGAAACCUGGAAACUUUGACGGUGGUGUUUACUCCUGCAGAGCCAAGAAUGAUCAUGGAGAAGCAGUCAUCAGCUGCAAGCUGGAUGUCAAACAGCCAGCAAUUCCAGACGGGGACAAGAAAUAGAUUGACAUCUUCACUAACACAGGAGCAGAGGGUAAGGUCUUUGCAGUAUAAGGAUCAGUUGGAUUCCUGGAAGAACUUCUAUCUAUGGCUGGUGAUUCAUUUGCCAACGGGUUUUAGCCUCUGACGUCUUACCGAGUAACAUCUACUAAGAUGAACAAUUUUUGUCAUCGCUUCAUGCCUACAACAAAAACAUUGAGUCCACAUCCAUGUCUACAAUUUGUUUUGCACAAGAAUACUCUCAUUAAUAACUAUUAUCUUAUGACCUCUUCAAACAAUGUACUACUUAAACAACUUCCCAGUCUUACUCAAUUGAAUUUACUGUUCCUCAUAUUAGAACUACAUGUAACAUCUAUGUGUUUAUAUCAAUAAAUAAUUUAAUUUC